rnacentral:lncRNA from 1 species
CGUUCCACCGGCCGAUGGCCACCCACUUUCUGAAACAACAAUGUCCAAACUUCCCCCACCAGCCCUCUCCAAGGCAGCGUAAAAUGCAUCCAACAUCGCGUCGAAAAGGUUCUGGUACAGAUAUGGACCAUCUGUCACAACGACAGACGGUGCCGUAAAGAGAGCAUAGUCAACAUCUCUUGGAUUUUCCAUGUGGCUAAAGUAGGGAUAUACAUUAACAAGUAAUGGAGCUCCGUUGUUCCUCAAGAAGGUUAUGACUGGACCGAGAAGUUGUUGGUAAUCGCCACGAAGUUUGCCUUGCGACGGAGGGUAAGAUACCUCCAUAGCACCGAAAAACGUAGCCGUAGAAACUUUGAUUUGGUUCCCUAAGCCUGCUUUAACUAUUGCUUUAUGAACGUUCUGCAUUGCUGGGAAAAGGAACCGAGCAAAUGGAUCCUGUGGCUUUACUUCGUUCCCGAUAGGGACGUAUCGAAAAUUAACAGUGCUGUAUCGCCUGAUGUUAUCUUGAACCAUCGAUCAGCAUUGGCUUGACUAGCUGCAAGGUAUUCGAGUCUCGGAUUCGAAACAUCUAAUAGCAGCUUGAUGUUGGUACCUCCGAGGGCUCGUAGGGCAGUUUUGUCGGGAGCGUAGAGUUUGUUGGAUGCCUUUACUUUUGUAAAUGUCGAUUACUUCGGCAGCUGGUGGCAAGUUAUUUCCCAUCAUUCCAUAACAAACUCCAACUUGGGCAUCUGCAUGAUAUUAAUUCCACAAUGCCUUAAUUUUAAAAUCAAAUGUUUUACCCUUUGAAUAGCUUCGGAAAUUGGAGAUGAAAUUCAAAACUGAGGAUUUGUGUUUUAUUACUUUAUUUGUGGUUCAUUUCUUACACAUGAAACUUUAAUUAUUAAUGAUUACUGAUUAUUAAAAGUUUCGUUAAAUUAAUCUAAUUUCAUAAAUUUUAAAAUUAUAUAUAAACUUUGAUUUGGUCCAAUUAUACACAUAAAACUUUAAUUGUAAUUCAAACAUAUAAACAAAAUUAUCAUUUAGGCCUUUUAAAUUUUUUAAAAUUUUAAAUUAGUAAAGGUAAAAUUUUACUUUGACCCCCUAAAAUUAUAAAAAUUUGAUUUAAUCCUUUAAAAAUUACACAAAUAUAUACUAUAAAAAAUUAAAAUUUCAUUCGGCCCCCCUAAAAAAAUUAUUCUGCCUUCGCCCUUGCAUAUACAUAAGACUUUUAUUUUGAUUAAAUUAUAUACCUUUCAAGAAAUAAAUACAUUAAAUAAUUUCUAUAUUGGAUAAAUAUAAUAAUUUCUAUAUGCAAUAUAUAAACAUAAAAUGAUGUUAUAUUAAUUAAUAAUUUAUAAAAAUUAUAUUAAAUCAAAAUAAAAUUUAUCUAUAACUUUGAAAUUUAUCUCUUGAAAUUAAAAUAAUAAAAUUACAUUUUAACUCGCAAAAAUAUAAUUUAAUUCUGCUAGAAGAAAUUUUAGCAUCACCCUAUUUGAAUUCAAAUAUUUGAGAUGACAUUAUUAGGAUAGGCAAUCAUAAAGAGCAAAAAAUUAAUCUUUAUAAACCAUAAAACAAAUAUAGAAAUGAGGAGUUAAGCAAUCAGAAUUACCGACAAAAAGAUAAAACACAUGUUGAUUUUUUAAAAAUAAAAUAUUCUCUCAAAAAUUUAUAAUUUUAUUUUAUCCCAAAAAUAUUUUUUAGUUUUACGUCUGUAUAUAGAGGUAUAUAAAUAAUUCAUAAAGAAACACAAAAGAGACCUGUGGUUUUGAAGAUAGCCAUUAGCAACGCACAAAGAAGAAGCAGCAUAGUUGAAUGCAUGAUGGCAUUGGCCAUUGGUUAAUAAAAGAUUUUACCAUUCUGGAAGUGCUGCGAUGCCUCUAACGCCAACUCUAACCACCCUUUUAUACAAAAAUUAUUGUCUGUGGUUACUUCCUGGAAAAUUAGGGUCCAUAAAUUAAAACUCUUACCACCAUUAAUUCAAGCCUAACUUUGCAAUUUGUUUACUGGCAGCUUGCGAGUGCCCUGCCCCCUCCUAUACUUCACAGAAAAGUCUUUGGGUCAUCAUCUCCAUUUCUUUUUUAUUAUUAAUAAUAUUACUCCGUGAUAGCGCUUAUUAGAGUCUUGUAGUUACGUUGGUCCAUGUUUGAAUGGAAGACAUAAGAAAUACUUGAAUAAGUAAGUCGGACGGAAAUCCUUCAGUUUACUAAAAUUACUAUAUAUAUAUUAAUACCAAAGUCUUUUUUACACACAUAAAUUAUGAAUCAAUCAAUUAUAAUAGUAUUUGUAAAUGUAUUUUUUUUAAAUAUACGGUUUAUAAAAAAAUAGAAGGUUUAAUUUAGUACUUGUACUUUAAAAAUAUCCAAUGUGAUACUUGAACUAUAAAUUUAUGUAUUAUUUAAUACUUAUAUUUUCAUAAAAUGUCUAACCUGAUACUUAAACUAUCAUCCUAUAUAUUAUUAUGGUAUUUUUAUAACCAUGAGAAACCCAUUUUAUUUCACUCGCAAAGAGCUGAGCUCAGGAAUUACAAUAAUCAGACCACAUUUAUUGCCUCUACCUUGGCUUUCAUAAGAAAAUGGCCUUACCCCUUUUAAUUGAAACUAAUUGGGUAUUUCUCCUGUUUGUUUGGGAAAAACAGCCCCCAAUGUUUCUCAUAUGCCGUGUCUUUAUUAUUCUCAUCAAACAUCGCAAACAGGUAAACUUCUAUUGCUUUUCCAGGUUUCCUCGGAGUCCCCUUGCGCUGAUUCACAUGUCGAACCAAAUUCGUAUUGUAAGUCCUCGCAUUAUUAACACUCGUAGCCGUUCCACCGGCCGACGGCCACCCACUUUCCGAAACAACAAUGUCCAAACUUCCCCCACCAGCCCUCUCCAAGGCAGCGUAAAAUGCAUCCAACAUCGCGUCGAAAAGGUUCUGGUACCGAUAUGGACCAUCUGUCACAACGACAGACGGUGCCGUAAAGAGAGCAUAGUCUAGAUGAACAUCUCUUGGAUUGUCCAUGUGGCUAAAGUAAGGAUAUACAUUAACAAGUAAUGGAGCUCUGUUGUCCCUCAAGAAGGUUAUGACUGGACCGAGAAGUUGUUGGUAAGCGCCGCGAAGUUUGCCUUGCGACGGAGGGUAAGCUACCUCCAUAGCACCGAAAAACGUAGCCGUAGAAACUUUGAUUUGGUUCCCUAAGCCUGCUUUAACUAUUGCUUUAUGAACGUUCUGCAUUGCUGGGAAAAGGAACCGAGCAAAUGGAUCCUGUGGCUUUACUUCGUUUCCGACAGCGAUGUAUCGGAAAUUAACAGUGUUGUAUCGCCUGACGUUAUCUUGAACCCAUCGAUCAGCAUUGGCUUGACUAGCUGCAAGGUAUUCGAGUCUCGGAUUCGAAACAUCUAAUAGCAGCUUGAUGUUGGUACCUCCGAGAGCUCGUAGGGCAGCUUCGUCGGGAGCGUAGAGUCGCGAUUGUUGGAUGCCUUUUCUUCUGUAAAUAUCGAUUACUUCGGCUGCUGGCGGCAAGUUAUUUCCCAUCAUUCCAUAACAAACUCCAACUUGGGCAUCUGCAUGAUAUUAAUUCCACAAUGCCUUAAUUUUAAAAUCAAACAUUUUACACUUUGAAUAGCUUCGAAAAUUGGAUUAUUUAGAGAUGAAAUUCAAAACUGAGGAUUUCAAUGUAAAUGUUCAUUUCUUACUCAGGUCAAAUUCAUAAAAAUAUUUGCUUUCUUGUCUAAUGAUUAAUGAUUAGUGAUUAUUAAAAGUUUCGUUAAAUUAAUCUAAUUUCAUAAAUUUUAAAACUAUAUAUAAACUUUGAUUUAGUCUAAUUAUACACACGAAACUUUAAUUAUUAUUCAAACAUAUACACAGAGGCGAUUCUAGGAGGGCUGGCAUGGGCUAAAAUGAAAAUUUGUCAUUUAGGCCUUCUAAAUUUUUUAAAACUUUAAAUCAGUAAAAGUAAAAUUACACUUUAGCCCUCCUAAAAUUAUAAAAUUUUGAUUUAAUCUUUUAAAAAUUAUAAAGAUAUAUAUUAUAAAAAUUAAAAUUUCAUUCGGUCUCCCUAAAAAAUUGUUCUGGCUUCGCCCCUGCUUUUAUUUUGAUUAAAUUAUAUACCUUUCAAGAAAUAAAUACAUUAAAUCAUUUUUAUAUUGGAUAAAUAUAAUAAUUUCUAUAUGCAAUAUAUAAACAAAAAAAUGAUGCUAUAUCAAUUAAUAAUUAGUAAAAAAUAUAUUAAAUCAAAAUAAAAUUUAUCUAUAACUUUGAAAUUUAUCUCUUGAAAUUAAAAGGAUGAAAUUACAUUUUAACUCGUAAAAAUAUAAUUUAAUUCUGCUAAAAGAAAUUUUAGCCUCACUCUAUUUGAAUUCAAAUUUUUGAGAUGACAUUAUUAGGAUAGGCAAUCAUAAGGAGCUAAAAAUUAAUCUUUAUAAACCAUAAAACAAAUAUAGGAAGGAGGAAUUAAGCAAUCAGAAAUACCGAUAAAAAUAUUUUUUUAGUUUUACGUCUGGAUAUAGAGGUAUAAAUAAUUGAUAAAGAAACACAAAAGAGAGUGUAAAGAAUAAAAGAGAGACCUGUGGCUUUGAAGAUAGCCAUUAGCAACGCACAAAGAAGCAGCAGCAUAGUUGAAUGCAUGAUGGCAUUGGCCAUUGGCUAAUAAAAGAUUUUACUAUUCUGGAAGUGCUGCGAUGCCUCUAACGCCAACUCUCACCACCCUUUUAUACAAAAACUAUUGUCUGUGGUUACGUCCUGGAAAAUUAGGGUACAUAAAUUAAAACUCUUACCACCAUUAAUUCAAGCCUAACUUUGCAAUUUGUUUACUGGCAGUUUGCGAGUGCCCUGCCCCCUCCUAUACUUCAAAGAAAAGUCUUUGGGUCAUCAUCUCCAUUUCUUUAUUAUUAUUAAUAAUAUUACUCCGUGAUGGACGCAGAGAGAAAAAUGAGUGAUUGGUAAGUAAACUUAUUAGAGGCUUGUAGUUACGUUGGUCCAUGUUUGAAUGGAAGACAUAAGAAAUACUUGUCGCAUGUAGCUGAAGGGCAUAUUUUUAUUAUAUCAGUCUUUAUCUUCAAAGACCCAUUGAAUAAGGGUGAGUUUGGAUAGACGAUUGGGUGCAGUGCGGUGCGUUUAGUUUACUUUUUGUUUCACACUACAAUAUCGCUAUAGUAUUUAAUCUCCUCGCCAUCACUGUUUUUACACUAACUAUAGACAAACGCACCGCCCAUCCAAACUUACCCUAAGUAAUCGGACGGAAAUCCUUCAGUUUACUAAAAUUACUAUAUAUAUAUUAAUACCAAAGUCUUUUUUACACACAUAAAUUAUGAAUCAAUCAAUUACAAUAGUAUUUGUAAAUGUAUUUUUUUUAAAAUACGGUUUAUAAAAAAAAUAGAAGGUUUAAUUUGGUGCUUGUACUUUAAAAAUAUCCAAUGUGAUACUUAAACUAUAAAUUUAUGUAUUAUUUAAUACUUAUAUUUUCAUAAAAUGUCUAACCUGAUACUUAAACUAUCAUCCUAUAUAUUAUUAUGGUAUUUUUAUAACUAUGAGAAACCCAUUUUAUUUCACUCGCAAAGAGCUGAGCUCUGGAAUUACAAUAAUCAGACCACAUUUAUUGCCUCUACCUUGGCUUUCAUAAGAAAAUGGCCUUACCCCUUUUAAUUGAAACUAAUUGGGUAUUUCUCCUGUUUGUUUGGGAAAAACAGCCCCCAAUGUUUCUCAUAUGCCGGUUCUUUAUUGUUCUCAUCAAACAUCGCAAACAAGUAAACUUCUAUUGCUUUUCCAGGUUUCCUCGGAGUCCCCUUGCGCUGAUUCACAUGUCGAACCAAAUUCGUAUUGUAAGUCCUCGCAUUAUUAACACUCGUAGCCGUUCCACCGGCCGACGGCCACCCACUUUCCGAAACAACAAUGUCCAAACUUCCCCCACCAACCCUCUCCAAGGCAGCGUAAAAUGCAUCCAACAUCGCGUCGAAAAGGUUCUGGUACCGAUAUGGACCAUCUGUCACAACGACAGAUGGUGCCGUAAAGAGAGCAUAGUCUAGACGAACAUCUCUUGGAUUUUCCAUGUGGCUAAAGUAGGGAUAUACAUUAACAAGUAAUGGAGCUCUGUUGUUCCUCAAGAAGGUUAUGACUGGACCGAGAAGUUGUUGGUAAUCGCCACGAAGUUUGCCUUGAGACGGAGGGAAAGAUACUUCCAUAGCACCGAAAAACGUAGCCGUAGAAACUUUGAUUCGGUUCCCUAAGCCUGCUUUAACUAUUGCAUUAUGAACGU